AGUGAACGCUGGCGGUAGGCCUAACACAUGCAAGUCGAACGGCAGCACAGUAAGAGCUUGCUCUUACGGGUGGCGAGUGGCGGACGGGUGAGGAAUACAUCGGAAUCUACUUUUUCGUGGGGGAUAACGUAGGGAAACUUACGCUAAUACCGCAUACGACCUACGGGUGAAAGCAGGGGAUCUUCGGACCUUGCGCGAUUGAAUGAGCCGAUGUCGGAUUAGCUAGUUGGCGGGGUAAAGGCCCACCAAGGCGACGAUCCGUAGCUGGUCUGAGAGGAUGAUCAGCCACACUGGAACUGGGACACGGUCCAGACUCCUACGGGAGGCAGCAGUGGGGAAUAUUGGACAAAGGGCGCAAGCCUGAUCCAGCCAUACCGCGUGGGUGAAGAAGGCGUUCGGGUUGUAAAGCCCUUUUGUUGGGAAAGAAAAGCAGCAGGUUAAUACCCCGCUGUUCUGACGGUACCCAAAGAAUAAGCACCGGCUAACUUCGUG
rnacentral:rRNA from 1 species